rnacentral:rRNA from 1 species
UAGCGGGUCUGAGAGGAUGAUCCGCCACACUGGUACUGAGACACGGACCAGACUCCUACGGGAGGCAGCAGUGGGGAAUAUUGCACAAUGGACGAAAGUCUGAUGCAGCAACGCCGCGUGGAGGAUGACACAUUUCGGUGCGUAAACUCCUUUUAUAUAAGAAGAUAAUGACGGUAUUAUAUGAAUAAGCACCGGCUAACUCCGUGCCAGCAGCCGCGGUAAUACGGAGGGUGCAAGCGUUAUUCGGAAUCACUGGGCGUAAAGGGUGCGUAGGCGGUUUGGAAAGUCAGAUGUGAAAGCCUACAGCUUAACUGUAGAACUGCAUUUGAAACUUCCAGACUAGAAUACUGAAGGGGCAGAUGGAAUUAGUGGUGUAGGGGUAAAAUCCGUAGAUAUCACUAGGGAUACCGAAAGCGAAAGCGAUCUGCUGGGAAGUUAUUGACGCUGAGGCACGAAAGCGUGGGGAGCAAACGGGAUUAGAUACCCCGGUAGUCCACGCCCUAAACGAUGAAUGCUAGUCGUCGGAAAGCUCGUCUUUUCGGUGAUGCAGUUAACACAUUAAGCAUUCCGCCUGGGGAGUACGGUCGCAAGAUUAAAACUCAAAGGAAUAGACGGGGACCCGCACAAGUGGUGGAGCAUGUGGUUUAAUUCGAAAAUACGCGAAGAACCUUACCUAGCCUUGACAUUGAUAGAAUCUGGUAGAGAUACCGGAGUGCCUGCUUGCAGGAACUUGAAAACAGGUGCUGCACGGCUGUCGUCAGCUCGUGUCGUGAGAUGUUGGGUUAAGUCCCGCAACGAGCGCAACCCUCGUCGUUAGUUGCUAACAGUUCGGCUGAGCACUCUAGCGAGACUGCCUUCGCAAGGAGGAGGAAGGUGAGGGCGGCGUCAAGUCAUCAUGGCCCUUAUGGCUAGGGCUACACACGUGCCACAAUGGGGCGUACAGAGAGUUGCGAUACCGCGAGGUGGAGCUAAUCUCAUAAAGCGUCUCUCAGUUCGGAUUGAUCUCUGCAACUCGAGAUCAUGAAGCUGGAAUCACUAGUAAUCGUAGAUCAGCAAUGCUACGGUGAAUACGUUCCCGGGUCUUGUACUCACCGCCCGUCACACCAUGGGAGUUGAUUUCACCCGAAAUCGGGAAGCGAACCUUCGGGACGCUACCGCUUACGGUGGAAUUAGCGACUGGGGUGAAGUCGUAACAAGGU